CCUCCAACUCGCCGGUCGACGCGAAAAACACACCGGUGUACGUAUUUCGUUUUUUCCUCUCUUUUACUCCUCCGGCUGUGUCGCGCGCGUGUGACUUCGAAUCCGCUCGUUUUCGCGUGCGUACGAACGAGGAGGUUACCUCGCACGAGCUACGUGCUCACGCAUGUCGGCCGCUCGCGACUAUGUGCGAUACGCGUCUACCGCUCACACGGAAUGCACUCUGGCCGCGCACCACGGCCGCCGGUUCGAUAUUGCUGCCUCUCUUCCCGACCUCUCGCCGGGUCCCCACCUCGUUCCGCCAUGCCGUGCCCUCCGUGCCCUCCUAUUCCCCCCGGCCGCCAGUUCCCGCUGUCCACGAUCCGCAUUGCACGAUGACGAGGACCACGACGACGACCAAGAGCCGCGACGAGCCACGAUGACGACGUUCGUGACGACGCGAACCAUGCGCCACCGUACGUCGUCUACACCCGACCACCGACUAUCCUUCUCUCUGUCUGGACGAGCUAACCUUCCUGAUGAGAACACGCCGACCGAUCGAUGCUUUAUCCUGCGUCCUUCUCCUCUGGCGAGCUAAAUGUCACUCGGCGCCGCGCCGUUUGAACGUCGCCAACUACCGUCUAACGAUUCUAAUUGGUUAUUCCUCUUUCGAGACAGUUUUUCGAUCUCCGACUCGUGGUACCACCUUCGUCCUUGACUUUCAUCACUUGGAUGGUUCGAUAGCUCCGAUCGACUAGAUACGAGAUAACUUGCGAAUUCUGGAUAAUGUGGCCUAUUCUUCUGUCCGACUGUUGAAUGAAGGUGAAUUGCCGUUGGUAAUGGCCAUCGGUAGAACAAACAGAGUAUUUUCUGCGAGAAAAUAGACGGAGGACACCCACGCAGCUUCUCCGAAGAAUAUUUAUUAAUACAGGAGAUAAAAUCUUGGAAUUAAGCGAUGCAGAACAUGAUUAAUCGAGGUUCACAAUUUCGAAUUAACAUUUUACCUUUGGUUCUUAGCUUGUCGUUUAAAAACGUCCCAAUAAACAUGUCGUAAGAUUCAUAAAUAGCGAACAAUAUCAUUGGUUAAGGUUCGUUUAAUACAAACUACUUCGUGGAAGUACUGUGCCAGCAAAAUGCAGGAAAAAAUGUGGAGUUAAGCCGAUAUCGUUUGUGGAACAUGAAAGUGAUUCCCACCAAAAGCAACAUGAAAGACGAAAAGUGAACUAAAGCAGAGGCAAACCUCGAAAGUUUGUUUUGCACAUCAAAGCACGUGACAUUCAUUGAGGUUUCUCAGCAGAAUACAUCCGUCUAUAUGUAUGCAUAUCUAUUCGCAUGUUAACGCAAGCGUUAUUUACGUACACGGUAAGACUUCGUGAUCUUGAUGGACAGGGAACAUUCAUCAGUUUCUAAGCUGUUCAUGAGUCAGCACGCGAAUCCUCGACCCGGUCAGCGAAUUUAUCACGAGCGAAUUCUAUCGAAUCAGCAGAUACAAUCUAUCGAGAGUGUCUGCGAGCGUAUAGAACAUGUCGGGAAUUUCAGAUGACAUAAUCGUUUGAAACUACUCGAAAACAAGUGGAGCAAGAAAGUAUCAAGAAUUCUCUGCUCAAUAGAAUUACCCUCUAUCAAAAAUACAUAUGUUCUUUAAAAAUAACACUGUCUAAAAAUAUUUUUGUAGAUACAUUUUAAAUAGCGCUAUUUUUUCAACAGUGAUGCAAGGUAACAUUCUGUGAGUAUCAAAAAUUGAUUCAAUGAAGUUGAACAAAAAAAUGAUGUAGAAAUAAAAUGUUCAGUUAUACUGAAAAUUAUAGUAAUCAUUUUAAAUAACAAGUUACAGUAUUUUAAUAAAAAAUUAGAAUGUAAUUGACACCUUGAUGACCACAGUGAAAUUUGAUGUUUGUACUCAGACAUAUUAUAAGGGGAAUU